rnacentral:rRNA from 1 species
UGGAGCCGACCUUGAAAUACCACCCUUUAAUGUUUGAUGUUCUAACGUUGGCCCCUAAUCGGGGUUGCGGACAGUGUCUGGUGGGUAGUUUGACUGGGGCGGUCUCCUCCUAAAGAGUAACGGAGGAGCACGAAGGUUGGCUAAUCCUGGUCGGACAUCAGGAGGUUAGUGCAAUGGCAUAAGCCAGCUUGACUGCGAGCGUGACGGCGCGAGCAGGUGCGAAAGCAGGUCAUAGUGAUCCGGUGGUUCUGAAUGGAAGGGCCAUCGCUCAACGGAUAAAAGGUACUCCGGGGAUAACAGGCUGAUACCGCCCAAGAGUUCAUAUCGACGGCGGUGUUUGGCACCUCGAUGUCGGCUCAUCACAUCCUGGGGCUGAAGUAGGUCCCAAGGGUAUGGCUGUUCGCCAUUUAAAGUGGUACGCGAGCUGGGUUUAGAACGUCGUGAGACAGUUCGGUCCCUAUCUGCCGUGGGCGCUGGAGAACUGAGGGGGGCUGCUCCUAGUACGAGAGGACCGGAGUGGACGCAUCACUGGUGUUCGGGUUGUCAUGCCAAUGGCACUGCCCGGUAGCUAAAUGCGGAAGAGAUAAGUGCUGAAAGCAUCUAAGCACGAAACUUGCCCCGAGAUGAGUUCUCCCUGACUCCCUGAGAGUCCUGAAGGAACGUUG